GAACACUUCAACAUUCANACAGCAAAACUGGAUGAAUGCAGAGAUUAGCGUGGCCCUGCAUAAGAAUGACAGGCAGAUUCAGGAAAGAGUCCAUAUUUUA
rnacentral:snRNA from 1 species